CAAAUUCAUGUCCAUCGAGUCGGUGAUGCCAUCCUACCAUCUCAUCCUCUGUUGUCCCCUUCUCCUCCUGCCUUCAAUCUUUCCCAGCAUCAGGGUCUUUUCUAAUGAGCCGUUUCUUGACAUCAAGUGGGCAAAGUAUUGGAGCUUCAGCAUCAGUCGUUCCAAUGAA